GGCGAACGCUGGCGGCGGGCUUAACACAUGCAAGUCGAGCGGGCAGUUUCGGGUGUCAGCGGCUGCCGGGUGGGUAACGCGGGGGAAAGUGCCUUAUUAUUCUGAAUAUCUCAUGGGAACUUGAUCUAAUACCGGAUACGCCCUCUUGGGGGAAGGCUCGCGGCCGGGGGGUCGGCUCGCGUCUGAUUGGCGAGGUGGUAGGGUUACGGCACACCAAGGCGGCGGGUAGUAGCUGGUCUGAGAGGCGGUUAGGCCACAAUGGGACUGCGACACGGCCCAGACUCGGACGGAAGGGAGCAGUGGGGAAUAUUGGAGAAGGGGCGCAAGCCUGAUAACGCCAUGCCGGGUGAGAGGUGAAGCCCUUAGGGUUGUACAGCUCUUUUAUCCGAGACGAUAAUGACGGUACCGGAUGAAUAAGCCCCGGCUAACUUCGUG
rnacentral:rRNA from 1 species